rnacentral:rRNA from 1 species
ACGAACGCUGGCGGCGUGCUUAACACCUGCAAGUCGCACGGAAAGGCCCUGCUUUUGUGGGGUGCUCGAGUGGCGAACGGGUGAGUAACACGUGAGUAACCUGCCCUUGACUUUGGGAUAACUUCAGGAAACUGGGGCUAAUACCGGAUAGGAGCUCCUGCUGCAUGGUGGGGGUUGGAAAGUUUCGGCGGUUGGGGAUGGACUCGCGGCUUAUCAGCUUGUUGGUGGGGUAGUGGCUUACCAAGGCUUUGACGGGUAGCCGGCCUGAGAGGGUGACCGGCCACAUUGGGACUGAGAUACGGCCCAGACUCCUACGGGAGGCAGCAGUGGGGAAUAUUGCACAAUGGGCGGAAGCCUGAUGCAGCAACGCCGCGUGCGGGAUGACGGCCUUCGGGUUGUAAACCGCUUUCGCCUGUGACGAAGCGUGAGUGACGGUAAUGGGUAAAGAAGCACCGGCUAACUACG